AUUCAAACCCGUUAAUCUUUUUACUUAAAUGUUAAGUUUGUAAACAAUUCUGAUUCUUCAAUUCAGUAACGAUUGAAUUUCAAGAAAGUCACAUGGAGAAUUGUUUUUUAGCUUAUGAAAUUGAACUGGGUUUUCUUUAGUUUGGCUUAGUUUAUAAUGUUAUACAACUUACAUUCUGUAACUAUAUGAGCUCUACUUGCUUUCUCACAUUUUAAAAAACCCAUUUGAAUAACUGAUCUUAUCAUCUUUAAUUCACAUGGGUUUGGUUUAAUUUUGAUUAUUUUGAUCAAUAUACAUUGCUUUUACUAAGGAAUUUUUCUGAGUUUAGUUUAGUUGUGCUCAUUGUGGUCAUUAUUUUCCUUCAUUUUCUUUUGAACUUUUGAAAUGUCGUAUUUUUGUUUGCAUUGUUGAUUAGUUUUAUCAAAACACAGCUUCUUAUGGGCUUAGGAUUAAUUUUUAAAAAGUACAAUUGAAAAUUGAUUAUAGUGUUGUAAAUUCUCAUCAUAGGUUAGUUUUAGCUCAUUGCUUUUACCUUUUUCCUUUUCCUUUUUCUUUUUAGCUAUUUGAGAGAUGUCACUUUGUUGAACUUUGUUUACUUCAUCUGGUUUUUAAGCAGAGAAUGGGAGCUUGGUGAAGUAUUCUUUUGGGUUUCAUAUUGA
rnacentral:misc_RNA from 1 species